GCCAAACUUCUAGCCUUAACCCCCCCCCCCAUAAAACCCACCAACCUCCCAUUUUUCACCUAAAACAUUCUUUUAAUCAAGUAAAGGCGAUAAAAAAAUUUCUUAAAGCAAUAAAAAUAGUACCGUAAGGGAACGAUGAAAUAAAAAUGAAACAACUCUAAAGCACAAAAAAGUAAAGUUUUCCCCUUGUACCUUUUGCAUCAUGGUUUAACUAGUCCCCUUAGGCAAAAAGAAUUUUAGUCCAACCCCCCGAACCUAGGCGAGCUACCAUAAGACAGCUUUUAGAGCCAACCCGUCUCUGUCGCAAAAGAGUGGGAAGAUCUUAUAGUAGUGGUGAUAUACCAAGCGAGCCUAGUGAUAGCUGGUUGCUUUUUAAAAGGAUUUUAGUCCAACUUAAAGUUAUAAACAUAUGCCCAUUUAACAAACCAAACUUUAAAGUAAUUCAAAUAAGGUCCAGCCUAUUUGAAAAAGGAUACAACCUCUCCCAUUGGGUUAUUCUACGCUAAAAACACUUAAGUAGGCUUAAAAGCAGCCACCUUACAAAAGCGUCACAGCUUAAUUUAAAGAUUUUUACAAUUCCUAAAUCUCCCACUUAACCCCUCACCCCCAAAAAGCAAUUCUAUAACUCUAUAGAAGAUUUUAUGUUAAAACUAGUAACAAGAAAUAGCCCUUCUCUUAAAUGUCCCUACAAAUCAAUACAAACCCCAUUGAUAGCUAACGUCUGUAACUCCAUAGUAAAAACUCUUCCAGAAAACCCUACUUUUAUUAACGUUAACCUAACACAAGAACAUUAAAAGAAAGAUUAAAAGAUAAAGAAGGAACUCGGCAAAUUUUAGCCUCGCCUGUUUACCAAAAACAUCGCCUCCUGCCUAACCAUAAGAGGUCAAGCCUGCCCAGUGACAUUGUUCAACGGCCGCGGUAUCCUAACCGUGCGAAGGUAGCGUAAUCACUUGUUCUUUAAAUGAGGACUAGUAUGAACGGCUUCACGAAAGCUAUACUGUCUCCUUUAUCUAAUCAGUGAAACUAAUCUCCCCGUGAAGAAGCGGGGAUCCCCCUAUAAGACGAGAAGACCCUGUGGAGCUUUAAACACCUUAAAACAUUUGUAUUUCCUUACUUAACUUUACUAAACCCAUCAUUUUGUUUUAAGUUUUAGGUUGGGGUGACCACGGAGAACAACUUAACCUCCACAUAGAAAAAGCCUUCUUUUUAAGCAAAAAGUUACACCUUGAUGCAUCAAUACAUUGACUUAAAUUGACCCAAUUAUUUGAUCAAUGAACCAAGUUACCCCAGGGAUAACAGCGCAAUCCGCUUUAAGAGCCCCUAUCGACAAGCGGGCUUACGACCUCGAUGUUGGAUCAGGGUAUCCCAGUGGUGCAGCAGCUACUAACGGUUCGUUGUUCAACGAUUAAAAC
rnacentral:rRNA from 1 species